GAUACCCCACUAUGCCAGGCCUAAAUAUGACCCUGUCCGCCAGAAAAUUACAAGUGAAAGCUUAAAACUCAAAAGACUUGACGGUGUUCCAACCUACCUAGAGGAGCCUGUUUCAUAAUCGAUAACCCACGAUCAACCUAACCUUCUUUUGUAAAAUCAGCCUAUAUACCGCCGUCGCCAGCCUACCUUCCAAAAGCAUUAAAGUAGGCUCAACAGUUCACACUAAAAAGUCAGGUCAAGGUGUAGCUAAUAAGAAGGAGACAAUGGGCUACAUUAUUUAAAUUAAAUAACACGAAUUAACCCAUGAAACAUGUAAUAUAAAGGCGGAUUUAGAAGUAAAUUAAACAAGAAUAUUUAAUUUAAUUUAGCUCUGGAACAUGUACACACCGCCCGU
rnacentral:rRNA from 1 species